UACGUAGGUGGCGAGCGUUGUCCGGAUUUACUGGGCGUAAAGAGCGCGCAGGCGGCUGGUCAAGUCCGAUGUGAAAGCUCCCGGCUUAACUGGGAAAUUGCAUCGGAAACUGAUCGGCUGGAAGGUGGGAGAGGGUAGCGGAAUUCCCGGUGUAGUGGUGAAAUGCGUAGAGAUCCGGAGGAACACCGAAGGCGAAGGCAGUGUCCUGGCGAGUGACUGACGCUGAGGUGCGAAAGCCAGGGGAGCGAACGGG
rnacentral:rRNA from 1 species